rnacentral:rRNA from 1 species
UGAGUAAAGUCUGGGAAACUGCCUGAUGGAGGGGGAUAACUACUGGAAACGGUAGCUAAUACCGCAUAAUGUCUUCGGACCAAAGUGGGGGACCUUAGGGCCUCACGCCAUCGGAUGUGCCCAGAUGGGAUUAGCUGGUAGGUGGGGUAAAGGCUCACCUAGGCAACGAUCCCUAGCUGGUCUGAGAGGAUGACCAGCCACACUGGAACUGAGACACGGUCCACACUAAAACGGGAGGCAGCAGUGGGGAAUAUUGCACAAUGGGGGAAACCCUGAUGCAGCCAUGCCGCGUGUGUGAAGAAGGCCUUAGGGUUGUAAAGCACUUUCAGCGGGGAGGAAGGCAAUGAGCUUAAUAAGCUUGUUGAUUGACGUUACCCGCAGAAGAAGCACCGGCUAACUCCGUGCCAGCAGCCGCGGUAAUACGGAGGGUGCAAGCGUUAAUCGGAAUGACUGGGCGUAAAGGGCACGCAGGCGGUUUGUUAAGUCAGAUGUGAAAUCCCCGGGCUUAACCUGGGAACUGCAUUUGAAACUGGCAAGCUGGAGUCUUGUAUAGGGGGGUAGAAUUCCAGGGGUAGCGGUGAAAAGCCUAGAGAUCUGGAGGAAUACCGGUGGCGAAAGCAUCCCCCCCUGGACAAAGACAGACGCUCAGGUUCGUAAAACUUGCGGAGCGAAACUUGAUUAGAUACCCCGGGUAGUCCACCCCUGUGGGCGGAUGUCCCACUUCAAAGGGUUGUGGCCCCUAGAAUACUAGGGC